rnacentral:rRNA from 1 species
GAUGAACGCUAGCGGCAGGCCUAACACAUGCAAGUCGAGGGGUAACUAGAGUGAUAGCAAUAUUACUUUGGCUAGACCGGCGCACGGGUGCGUAACACGUAUGCAACCUACCUUAUACUGGGGAAUAACUUCGAGAAAUCGGCGCUAAUACCCCAUAACACUGCGGAGAGGCAUCUCUUUGCAGUUAAAGCUCCGGCGGUAUAAGAUGGGCAUGCGUCCAAUUAGCUAGUUGGUGAGGUAACGGCUCACCAAGGCUACGAUUGGUAGGGGUUCUGAGAGGAUGAUCGCCCACACUGGUACUGAGACACGGACCAGACUCCUAAGGGAGGCAGCAGUGAGGAAGAUUGCGCAAUGGACGAAAGUCUGACGCAGCCAUGCCGCGUGCAGGAUGACGGCCCUAUGGGUUGUAAACUGCUUUUGUACGGGAAUAAACCCUUCUACGUGUAGGAGGCUGAAGGUACCGUAAGAAUAAGCAUCGGCUAAUUACGUGCCAGCCGCCGCUGUAA